GUGUUUGUAGUCCAACGGUUAGGAUUAUUGCCUUCCAAGCAAUAGACUCGGGUUAGACCCCCCGGCAAAUGCA
rnacentral:tRNA from 11 species